rnacentral:rRNA from 1 species
CCCUUAGAUGUUCUGGGCUGCACGCGCGCGACAAUGACGUUUGCAACGAGAUACGAGACCGAAAGGUUAAGUUGAUCUAGCAAGCUGCGUCGUGAUAGGGACUGUCGAUUGCAAUUAUUCGACACGAACGAGGAAUUCCUUGUAAUCGCACAUCAUCAGUGUGCGCUGAAUACGUCCCUGCCCUUUGUACACACCGCCCGUCGCUCCUACCGAUCGAGUGAUCCGGUGAAUGUUUUGGAUCGGUUGCAAGUUGCGCGACGCGCUUCUUGCAUGCUGUGAAAUCGUGUAAGCCUUAUUGCUUAGAGGAAGGAGAANUCGUAACA